rnacentral:lncRNA from 1 species
GAUUAGCCUCUCAUGACAAACUUACAAUUGAAAAAUGUUAUUUGAACGAACGUAUCUAUAUAUUAUAUAGAUAUCAUUUGGUUUCUUUAGUAGUUUUUUUUUCUCUCCUCAAGUUAGAUCAAUAAUUGUGAAAGAUGUAUUUUUAUACCGUUGUUAAAUAAUAGUCAAGUUUUUCCUGUUCAAGUAACAUUCCUCUUUGCAAUUUACUUGAAACAACAAAGCAUUACCUUCGUUCCUAAAAAAAAAAAAAAACAAAGCAUUACCUUCAGUCCAAUUAUGCUCAAUUUAUUACUUUUGAAUAUUGAAUAAUUUUGAUAAACAA